rnacentral:misc_RNA from 1 species
GGAUGAAGAACGCAGCGAAAUGCGAUAAGUAAUGUGAAUUGCAGAAUUCCGUGAAUCAUCGAAUCUUUGAACGCACAUUGCGCCCCCUGGUAUUCCGGGGGGCAUGCCUGUCCGAGCGUCAUUGCAACCUUCAAGCGCGGCUUGUGUGUUGGGUCUCGUCCCCCGUGGACGGGCCCGAAAGGCAGUGGCGGCGUCCCGACAUGGUGCCCGAGCGUAUGGGAAUCCUCUUCCGCUCGAAUCGGCCCAUGCGGCGCUGGUCGUAACCAAAUUUUUUACCGGUUGACCUCGGAUCAGGUAGGGAUACCCGCUGAACUUAAGCAUAUCAAUAAGCGGAGGA